rnacentral:lncRNA from 1 species
UAUAAUAUGUAACCAAAGACACAUCAAGUAUCUGGAGCUAGACUUAACAUAGAUACAUUACUAACAUUGUUACAUGCAAAAAUACAUAUAUCACGAAGAAAUCACCAAGGCAUCAAAUCCAUAAGCAAGCAUUAGCAAUUUAUGGAAAUUGGAAAUCUCCACCACUAGCUUCUCCAUCAGUAGCCUUGGGUGGGCUAAUGGAAACCCAAAGCAAAGAAAGGAUGAUUGCAAUGAGACCUGACCACACAAAUACAAUGGUGGGAGUCUUCCCUCUCCUUCCCAUCAAUCCUUUUGCAAAUGGAUACAAAUGUGCAAGAACCCAAAAGCUAAAGAAUGCUCCUCCUAUAAACUUACUCCAUUGUGGAUUCGCGCUAUAAAUGGUUCUAGAAAAUGCAACCACAAUGGCAAUCACAUUUACCAUUGCGAUAACAAUUGGUGGAAUCAUUAGGGAGCUCCAUUUGACUAUAUACAAAUCUGCGAAAAUGUCAUCGUCAUCCUCUCCUCCUGAUUUAGAUGUCAAAGUAAAAGAAAUCUCAAUUCCAGCAAUCACUUUAAGGAGUCCUUGUAUGACAGCAGCCAGAUGAGCACUAGUGCCGGAUAUGAGCCAAAAUUGUUCAUUCCUCCACCACUGCUCUAACUCUAUGCCAGACCAUUUAACCUCAAGAAUGGCAAGCCCCACCAAGCACACGGUCAUGGUGAGCAAGUAGAUUAAAAAGGCGAUACUUAGGGUUUGCACAAUAAAAUAUCCGGAAAACAAUGAGAGUGCUGGGAGGAAGCAAUACACAAUGAGGAGGAUGGAGGUGAAGGGGUAGACACCAACAUUGAGGUAAGCGAGACGUUGUAAAAGUUUUAGGCGCUUACUAGCGAGGAAUGCAUUGUUCUUGGAGAAGAAAAUCUCAACAGAACCUGUGGCCCAUCUUAGCACCUGGUGUAGUCGAUCAGUAAGAUUAAUUGGUGCAGAUCCACGAAAUGCAUCUCGCUUGGUUACACAAUAUACAGAACGCCAUCCACGAUUGUGCAUGCGGUACCCUGUAACCACAUCCUCUGUCACUGACCCAUAAAUCCAUCCCACUCUUUCUCCCCAUUCUGUCUUGUCUUCAUACCUACAUGAAAUAAAUAUAUUUUUAAUUAAUUAUGUAAUAAAAUUAAAUAAGUUAAAUGUUGUCUUU